rnacentral:rRNA from 1 species
AUACCACCCUUGUGUCGUUGAGGUUCUAACCUGGACCCCUUAUCGGGGUCGGGGACCGUGCAUGGUAGGCAGUUUGACUGGGGCGGUCUCCUCCCAAAAGGUAACGGAGGAGCACGAAGGUUGGCUAGACACGGUCGGAAAUCGUGUUGAUAGUGCAAGGGCAUAAGCCAGCUUAACUGCGAGACGGACAUGUCGAGCAGAUGCGAAAGCAGGUCCUAGUGAUCCGGUGGUUCUGAAUGGAAGGGCCAUCGCUCAACGGAUAAAAGGUACUCUGGGGAUAACAGGGCUGAUUCCGCCCAAGAGUUCACAUCGACGGCGGAGUUUGGCACCUCGAUGUCGGCUCAUCUCAUCCUGGGGCUGUAGCCGGUCCCAAGGGUAUGGCUGUUCGCCAUUUAAAGAGGUACGUGAGCUG